GAAUGCUGACAUAAGUAACGAUAAAGCGGGUGAAAAGCCCGCUCGCCGGAAGACCAAGGGUUCCUGUCCAACGUUAAUCGGGGCAGGGUGAGUCGACCCCUAAGGCGAGGCCGAAAGGCGUAGUCGAUGGGAAACGGGUUAAUAUUCCCGUACUUGGUGUUACUGCGAAGGGGGGACGGAGAAGGCUAUGUUGGCCGGGCGACGGUUGUCCCGGUUUAAGCGUGUAGGUGUGUGUUCCAGGUAAAUCCGGUUCACUUUAACACUGAGGCGUGAUGACGAGGCACUACGGUGCUGAAGCAACAAAUGCCCUGCUUCCAGGAAAAGCCUCUAAGCAUCAGGUAACAUCAAAUCGUACCCCAAACCGACACAGGUGGUCAGGUAGAGAAUACCAAGGCGCUUGAGAGAACUCGGGUGAAGGAACUAGGCAAAAUGGUGCCGUAACUUCGGGAGAAGGCACGCUGACAUGUAGGUGAAGUGAUUUACUCAUGGAGCUGAAGUCAGUCGAAGAUACCAGCUGGCUGCAACUGUUUAUUAAAAACACAGCACUGUGCAAACACGAAAGUGGACGUAUACGGUGUGACGCCUGCCCGGUG
rnacentral:rRNA from 1 species